rnacentral:rRNA from 1 species
UACGUAGGUGGCAAGCGUUGUUCGGAAUUAUUGGGCGUAAAGGGCGCGUAGGCGGUUUGCUAAGUCAGUUGUGAAAGCCCGGGGCUCAACCCCGGAGGGUCGGCUGAUACUGGUGGACUAGAGUACGGAAGAGGUAGCUGGAAUUCCCGGUGUAGCGGUGAAAUGCGUAGAGAUCGGGAGGAAGGCCGGUGGCGAAGGCGGCGUUCUGGACUGCAACUGACACUGAGGAACGAAAGCCAGGGGAGCAAACGGG